AUACUGGCUCCACCAAGGGUGCACAUUGUGACAAAGUGCUGGACCUCUGUGAGGUUCCGAAGUUCUCUCCUUCCUAUCAUUUGGGUAAAAGGAGUGACUAACCCACAGGGUUGUGUGGUGAAGGUUGACUGAGGUAAGUACGUAAAAUGUGCCUGGCGGAGAGUAACAUUUCGUAACCGUUGGCUCUUACGUUCACUAUUAAUGUUAGGACUGGUUUUCGCAAUCUUAGCAGGUGAUAGAAACUAGUUUUAUUUAAAGGCGGGGGGGAAACUAGCUGACUCAGGUAACCCCACCUAGGAAAGUACAGGGUGGGUGUGGCCCCGGGACAACUGGGUCCAAGGGGUCAACCCCGUAGAUUCUUUUCCUCUUCUCUCUCAUUUCUGCUUUUCUUCUUCUCGGCAGCCUCAGGCCACGGGCCCACUUCUCUGCCAGGAGGAGACGACCACUCAGGCUGACCCGGCACACAUUCUGGGACCACAAAGGAAAAAGGGUCUUCAGAAUAGAAGUUUUGCUGCAGCAGCUUAAACUAUCCCAGGACUUUUUGGUCUGAUCUUGUGCUAGUUUGGCAUCAUUAACCGCCAGUCUGGAGUUUGGUAAGUUGAUGUUGCCCAAUUAACCUAUAUGAUUGGAAGGAGGGAGUGGAAAUUCUUGAACCCACAAACAGUGCUAUAAUCGGGAGCAGUGACACAGUCUUAAAAACCAAAACAAAACAAUUUUGAACUAGGAAAGAGUUUGGAUUUAUCUUGCACAACUUCACCAGUGAGGGAAUUAGGAGCCAGAAACGGUAAAUCACUUGCUAGUGGUCACUGAGACUUUGGAAAUUUCAUGGUCACCUUUUCCUGCAGCAACAAACAACCCCACAUCCCAGAGGUGUGAGUGUUCAGCUUAUAUUACAUCAGAGCUGCAG
rnacentral:lncRNA from 1 species